AAAAAAAACUCUGUUGGAACUUAAGGCUCAGUCAAAUAAUCAAUAUGCCUAGUUUGGUUGGAAUAGUAUGCGAAAGUCAUACACUUUUAAAUUUCUGCUAUUUCAAUAAAAUUGCAGUUGAUGUGUUCCGUCACUUGUCUGCAAAAUGACCAUUUUAAUUUGCUUGAAUUUGCUCUGAUUUUCAGGUGGUCUCUGAGGUAACAUAACUACUGUUCGGAUUUGCAGGUGCUCCCCAAAGUAGUGUUGCUACUACUGGGAUUUGCAGGUCCUCCUUGAGCCAGUGGCUACAUGUGAAAGUGAUUCAGCACGCUAGUUGGAAAAACAGGACUGCACAAAGAGUGUGGGGGCCAAACCAUUUGCUGCCCACUGCUGAGAACAGGGAACCCACAGUCAGCAGGACUGAUGUAAAAGACUUAGAGAGCUAUAGGCAGAAAUUUACAUCUCUAUCCUCUUGUGAACAGCGUCCAACAGCCACCUAUGCCAUGGAAGGAGUAGGACAUACAGAGUAGGGGAGAGGACCAUCGGCCUAAAGAAUGCUAACAUCCACAUUGGAUUGAGGCUCUCAGACAUUAAUUAACCAUGGGGAUGAUUCUUCACAGACAUGCCCACAGACCAAUCUGAUACAGAUUGUUCAAUGGAGAAUCUUUUCAGUUCUAAAGCUUUGGGAUUUUGAUUGAGCCAUGCUACUGUCUUCACUGGUUUUCCAGCAUAGAGGACCUUCAGUGAGACUUCUAAUCCUCUGCAAUCAUGUCUUUUUUUUAUCCCUGUUAAGUUUCUUCUGGUAGUAUAUACACUUUCACACAGUCACACACCCUUCCUAAUGUCCUAUCAUUCAGUGUCUGACCACACAGGCAAGAACCUCUAAGAUUCCAGUGUACUUAAGGAAUUCUGGCCUCUAGUGGGACAGUGGCCUGCUUGUAAUGCUGUGGAUGAUGCAUUUUCACAUGUUUGGUAUGAGCAAACCUACUGUCCCACCACUUGGAAAUAUAGAGCAAACACUGUGUUUAAUACAUAAUACUUACCAGUGUUAACAAAUAGUUACAUCACUUACAUGAUUAUUAUCCUGUAAAUUUUUGUACAUUAUUUUAAAGGAUCAUACAUACUUGCCAAAAGAUUUCUGUAAAAUAAUGUGCAUUUUUAUACUGUGUUAUAGGCAGAUUUACUUUUAAAAUUUAUUUGUUGCAUAAAUUGACCAUUUAUUAAAGAAAGGAAAUGUGUGUACUGAUGAGUGUUCAUGUGUACGAGGAACUGUGUCUAAAAUUAUUUGAGUAUUUUGUACAGAUACUGAAUGAGUGCCAGUCAAUCUUUAUCCUUUAGUACUGGAUCCUGUGCUGGGAGAAGUCACAUCCAUGUGAUGCUUGAUUGCAUCAAUAUAUCACAUUGAGGGGCUGACCUGUGCCAUUUAGAAUUGUAUGAAUAUACUUGGUGCUGUUUGCACAAUGAUUGAACGGAAUAAUGACUCAUUUCCAGGAUUUCCCAUUACUAAUAAUACACAAUUAUAUGGUUCAUUGUUUUUGUCUCUUCAACUGCUCCAGAGUAUAUGUGUG
rnacentral:lncRNA from 1 species